rnacentral:rRNA from 1 species
CAAACGACUCUCGGCAACGGAUAUCUUGGCUCACGCAUCGAUGAAGAACGUAGCAAAAUGCGAUACUUGGUGUGAAUUGCAGAAUCCCGUGAACCAUCGAGUUUUUGAACGCAAGUUGCGCCCGAAGCCAUUCGGCUGAGGGCACGUCUGCCUGGGUGUCACG